CGAUCAAAAAAAAAAAAAAAAAAAAAACCUCUCAAUCUCUUCUCCUCUUUUCCCUCAUCCUCAUCGAAUUCGUGACCGGACAUCCUCUGGACGGAAAAUAGAGGCGAUGAUCGCAAAGCAUUUGGGGACCUAGUGUAAAAUUCUGAAGUUUAGUAAAACAUGAGCAGCCGAGCUAGUAGAACAAUUUAUGUUGGCAACCUUCCAGGUGAUAUUCGUGAGAGGGAGGUGGAAGAUUUGUUUUACAAGUAUGGACCCAUUGUGGAUAUUGAUUUGAAGAUCCCUCCGAGGCCUCCUGGUUAUGCCUUUGUUGAGUUUGAAGAUCCACGUGAUGCUGACAAUGCUAUUCGUGGUCGUGAUGGUUAUAAAUUUGACGGUUACAGACUACGGGUGGAACUUGCACAUGGUGGAAGAAGCUACUCCUCAUCUUCUGACUACUAUAGUAGGUAUAGUAGCGGUAGCAGCCGUGGUGGUGUCUCUAGGCGCUCAGAGUAUCGUGUUCUGGUAACCGGCUUACCAUCAUCUGCUUCGUGGCAAGACCUGAAGGAUCACAUGCGACGAGCUGGUGAUGUUUGUUUUUCUGAAGUCUUCCGAGAUGGGCGGGGCACUUCGGGCGUUGUGGACUACACAAACUAUGAUGAUAUGAAGUAUGCGAUUAGGAAACUAGAUGACUCUGAAUUCAGGAAUGCAUUUUCUCGAGCAUACAUAAGGGUUAGGGAAUACCGACGAAGCCCAUCUAGGAGCCCUAGCCCUAGCCCUUCUUACUCGAGAAGUAGGAGCCCUAGCUACAGUAGCGGUUACAGCAGAAGCAGGAGCAGGAGUGAAAGGAGUGAAAGGUCUCGGUCACGAUCGGUUUCAUCUCGCUCUCGUUGAGGACAUCAGAGUGGGAUGCAUUUAUUCUGGAAAAUCGAAAUCAUGAAUGUGAGGAUUGGGGUAAAAUCAAGCUUGUUUAGAUCCUGUUCAAGAUCCAGAUCUUCCAAACGUUCGGCGAGUUCGAGUUCCCAGCUCUAGUAAGUUAGCUCUAGUAGUUGCUCCCUAUAGGAAAAACACAUUUUAUUGUGGUUGAUUUUGAGGCUGUUGUAAAUUUUUGUAUCAUUUAUGUUAUUCAGCGGGACUUACCAUGUGUAUGUGUGCGAUUAUCUUCGUAGAAACAAGCUUCGUCAUACAAAUGUUAUGUAGCUGAGUUACACAGGUUUAUUAUCAUCAGUACUUUAUAGUGUACUUGGAUUUUAUAUAUGUUUGUAGUAGUGAGCAGUGAGCAGUAACCUGGGAUGCAUUGUUGAAUUA